GACUCGUGGCGGAAAGCUCAGUAACACGUGGUCGAACUACCCUGUGGACCGGCAUAACCUCGGGAAACUGAGGCUAAUACCGGAUACAGCUCCCAGGCUUGAAUGCGGGGAGCUGGAAACGCUCCGGCGCCACAGGAUGUGACUGCGGCCGAUUAGGUAGACGGUGGGGUAACGGCCCACCGUGCCGAUAAUCGGUACGGGUUGUGAGAGCAAGAGCCCGGAGACGGAAUCUGAGACAAGAUUCCGGGCCCUACGGGGCGCAGCAGGCGCGAAACCUUUACACUGUACGAAAGUGCGAUAGGGGGACUCCGAGUGCGAGGGCAUAGAGCCCUCGCUUUUGUACACCGUAAGGUGGUGUACGAAUAAGAGCUGGGCAAGACCGGUGCCAGCCGCCGCGGUAAUACCGGCAGCUCGAGUGAUGGCCGAUCUUAUUGGGCCUAAAGCGUCCGUAGCUGGCCAGGCAAGUCCGUUGGGAAAUCUGCUCGCUUAACGAGCAGGCGUCCAGCGGAAACUGCUUGGCUUGGGACCGGAGGACCUGAGGGGUACGUCCGGGGUAGGAGUGAAAUCCUGUAAUCCUGGACGGACCACCGGUGGCGAAAGCGCCUCAGGAAGACGGAUCCGACAGUGAGGGACGAAAGCUAGGGUCUCGAACCGGAUUAGAUACCCGGGUAGUCCUAGCUGUAAAC
rnacentral:rRNA from 1 species